UCUGUCUCAUCCUUAUGUGGAGGGUCGCAUGUUUGUCAUGAAACAUCAAUAUGAAGAGACAAUUGCUGAACUGCAGAGUGAAGUGGAGAAGAUGAAAGAAGACUUAAGAAGAAUAUCUUUGUCACUAAAAGGAAUUCGCUUUCGUAGUUGUGGUAAGGGGCGUUAUCAAGCACAAUAACGGAGCCUGGCUGUACAUUGACUAACAGCUUCUGGAACCACUCCAAGAAAUGCUCUGAGUUCGUUUCGUCGUGGUAGUCUGCGCUGUUCUUCUUUGAUCUGAAAACCAAGUCUGCAUUGGGAGUCCACCCCGUUUCACUUCCUGCGUGAAGUAUGAUGAGUCAUUGACCCUUUCCUGAAGGUCUUUUCCACCCACCGCGUCCCUGUUCAUCUAGCCAGAGUCUCUCCGGAGCCAUGUGUGAGUUUGCCCAGGUUUCGUCCAAGUACACUAUGGGACGGUCUUCUCUUCUAUACUGCAUAAUGUUUUUGAGGGUAUGUCUGAAUCCCAUUUCCUUCAGUAAGUGAAAGAGAGUUGUCUGCCCGCCAGGAAAUACGCCUUUUUCGCGGACACGCACAAGGAGUUUUGUCCAAGGUUGGAUAGUCUCUAUUUUCAUACAUUUCAUGUACUGUUCUCCGUAUCGCUGCUGGAUCAAAAUCAUCAACGUUGAUGGUCAGUCGGCGUUCUCGUUUAACGUUUCUUCUGCGGUGUUUGAAACUGUUGACUUGACAAUAAGUCUGUGUGGAUCUUUGCCGACGUCGUUUUGCCUAGGCCAGUGGCAGCUACCAGUCGGUCGGUGACCCUGUUGAGACUGAUGCGAUGUUUGGCUCGUCGUUCUUCUUCGAAGAAUUGUCUGAUACGUUCAACAAGACGCUUUUCCGCUGAAACAACUCGCUCACUUUUUCUCCUUGCCAUGAAACCUCUGCUUAUCGUAACUAAUAGGUUAAUUAUACAGCAGAGUUCUCGAGCUUCGCGCGCACUCUGGUCUGGAAGUUCGAGACUAACAGACGGUAGGCAUGAAGGCGCUCCAUCCAAGCGGCAAAGGCCAGACAAAAACAUGCCCGGUUGGGCAAUAACUAGUGAUCAUGAAUUUUAGCUCUCUAUAGACAUAUAUCGCUGCAUAUGCAUGUGCAUGGGUCUAGAGGCCUGUCCACACUGGCAACUGGAUCGCGAUCCAACGGCAACGCUGUCCACACUUGCAACUCGAUCGCGAUCGGUUGAAUCCAAUUAUGAAUAGUGGGCGUUAUCUUCACGUACGCUACGCGUGUAGUCGGAACAUCUAGCACUCCUUACUCGUCUUUGUUCUCGCUCACCUUACGUCGCUGUAUCAAUGCUUUCCACAAGCAAAGAAGCCACACGUACACAUCGGUCAUCAGUCACGUGAUAUCGAAAUGAUCAUGAGGCGGAGGUAGCAUUUUCAAAGUGCAGUGUGGACGCUCGCUAUCCCGAUCGGAUCGCGAUCCAUUCUGGUCUAGUGUGGACAGGCCUAAAAAUGACAUUAUAUUUCGAAUAAAAACUGUUAGUUA